rnacentral:rRNA from 1 species
AGAGUUUGAUCCUGGCUCAGGAUGAACGCUAGCGGGAGGCCUAACACAUGCAAGCCGAGCGGUAGAGAUUCUUCGGAAUCUUGAGAGCGGCGUACGGGUGCGGAACACGUGUGCAACCUGCCUUUAUCAAGGGGAUAGCCUUUCGAAAGGAAGAUUAAUACCCUAUAAUAUAUUAUUCGGCAUCGGAUUAUAUUGAAAACUACGGUGGAUAAAGAUGGGCACGCGCAAGAUUAGCUAGUUGGUGAGGUAACGGCUCACCAAGGCGACGAUCUUUAGGGGGCCUGAGAGGGUGAUCCCCCACACUGGUACUGAGACACGGACCAGACUCCUACGGGAGGCAGCAGUGAGGAAUAUUGGACAAUGGGUGGAAGCCUGAUCCAGCCAUCCCGCGUGUAGGAAGACG